UAAUUUUCAAUAUAUUGAUUUCUUUGUUUUUUUCUAAUGUUGAUGUUCCGUUUUCUAUUUUAAUUCCAUUGAACGACAUUGUUCAUUAAGAGGUAAUUUUCUUCUUCUUGUUUUUUACAUUUCAUCUCUACUCCUUUCACUACCAUCACUAAACGAAAGGGUGGAAUUUUUCAGGUUUCCCGGGUUCAAGAGAAGAUUCGUCGGAGAUACCUCUGUAGCAUAAGAGUGGAAUUUCAAGGUGUAUCGGGGACAAGAGAAGUUUGAUUGGAAAUAGGUCUUGGGUAAGUUUCCUCCGUAUUCCCUAUUCUCUCAAAUUUCUCGCUGUACUUUAAUUUUCUCUUUUGUGUUUGGGUGUUAUAUGUCGAAUGUAUGUGUGUAGUAGGAAAAUUAAUUUUCAAUAUAUUGAUUUCUUUGCUUUUUUCUAAUGUUGAUGUUCCGUUUUCUAUUUUAAUUCCAUUGAACGACAUUGCUCAUUAAGAGGUAAUUUUCUUCUUCUCGUUUUUUACAUUUGAUCUCUACUCCUUUCACUACCAUCUAUAAACGUAAGGGUGGAAUUUUUCAGGUUUCCCGGGGACAAGAGAAGAUUCGUCGGAGAUACUCCUGUAGCGUAAGAGUGGAAUUUCAAGGUUUAUCGGGGACAGGAGAAGUUUGAUUGGAAAUAGG